AGGUGAUCCAACCGCAGGUUCCCCUACGGUUACCUUGUUACGACUUCACCCCAGUCAUGAAUCACAAAGUGGUAAGCGCCCUCCCGAAGGUUAAGCUACCUACUUCUUUUUGCAACCCACUCCCAUGGUGUGACGGGCGGUGUGUACAAGGCCCGGGAACGUAUUCACCGUGGCAUUCUGAUCCACGAUUACUAGCGAUUCCGACUUCAUGGAGUCGAGUUGCAGACUCCAAUCCGGACUACGACGCACUUUAUGAGGUCCGCUUGCUCUCGCGAGGUCGCUUCUCUUUGUAUGCGCCAUUGUAGCACGUGUGUAGCCCUGGUCGUAAGGGCCAUGAUGACUUGACGUCAUCCCCACCUUCCUCCAGUUUAUCACUGGCAGUCUCCUUUGAGUUCCCGGCCGGACCGCUGGCAACAAAGGAUAAGGGUUGCGCUCGUUGCGGGACUUAACCCAACAUUUCACAACACGAGCUGACGACAGCCAUGCAGCACCUGUCUCACGGCUCCCGAAGGCACAUUCUCAUCUCUGAAAACUUCCGUGGAUGUCAAGACCAGGUAAGGUUCUUCGCGUUGCAUCGAAUUAAACCACAUGCUCCACCGCUUGUGCGGGCCCCCGUCAAUUCAUUUGAGUUUUAACCUUGCGGCCGUACUCCCCAGGCGGUCGACUUAACGCGUUAGCUCCGGAAGCCACGCCUCAAGGGCACAACCUCCAAGUCGACAUCGUUUACGGCGUGGACUACCAGGGUAUCUAAUCCUGUUUGCUCCCCACGCUUUCGCACCUGAGCGUCAGUCUUCGUCCAGGGGGCCGCCUUCGCCACCGGUAUUCCUCCAGAUCUCUACGCAUUUCACCGCUACACCUGGAAUUCUACCCCCUCUACGAGACUCAAGCUUGCCAGUAUCAGAUGCAGUUCCCAGGUUGAGCCCGGGGAUUUCACAUCUGACUUAACAAACCGCCUGCGUGCGCUUUACGCCCAGUAAUUCCGAUUAACGCUUGCACCCUCCGUAUUACCGCGGCUGCUGGCACGGAGUUAGCCGGUGCUUCUUCUGCGGGUAACGUCAAUGAGCAAAGGUAUUAACUUUACUCCCUUCCUCCCCGCUGAAAGUACUUUACAACCCGAAGGCCUUCUUCAUACACGCGGCAUGGCUGCAUCAGGCUUGCGCCCAUUGUGCAAUAUUCCCCACUGCUGCCUCCCGUAGGAGUCUGGACCGUGUCUCAGUUCCAGUGUGGCUGGUCAUCCUCUCAGACCAGCUAGGGAUCGUCGCCUAGGUGAGCCUUUACCCCACCUACUAGCUAAUCCCAUCUGGGCACAUCCGAUGGCAAGAGGCCCGAAGGUCCCCCUCUUUGGUCUUGCGACAUUAUGCGGUAUUAGCUACCGUUUCCAGUAGUUAUCCCCCUCCAUCAGGCAGUUUCCCAGACAUUACUCACCCGUCCGCCACUCGUCAGCGAAACAGCAAGCUGUUUCCUGUUACCGUUCGACUUGCAUGUGUUAGGCCUGCCGCCAGCGUUCAAUCUGAGCCAUGAUCAAACUCU
rnacentral:rRNA from 1 species